rnacentral:rRNA from 1 species
AUUGAACGCUGGCGGCAGGCCUAACACAUGCAAGUCGAACGAGUGGCGGACGGGUGAGUAAUGUCUGGGAAACUGCCUGAUGGAGGGGGAUAACUACUGGAAACGGUAGCUAAUACCGCAUACCAUCGGAUGUGCCCAGAUGGGAUUAGCUAGUAGGUGGGGUAAAGGCUCACCUAGGCGACGAUCCCUAGCUGGUCUGAGAGUAUGACCGGCCACACGGGAACUGAGACACGGUCCAGACUCCUACGGGAGGCAGCAGUGGGGAAUAUUGGACAAUGGGCGCAAGCCUGAUGCAGCCAGGCCGCGUAUAUGAAGAAGGCCUUCGGGUUGUAAGGUACUUUCAGCGGGGAGGCGUUACCCGCAGAAAAAGCACCGGCUAACUCCGUGCCAGCAGCCGCGGUAAUAC